GUUCCAGUACUGACUUCGGGGGACGAUAACGGCGUCGAGCGGCGGACGGGUGAGUAAUGCCUAGGAAAUUGCCCUGAUGUGGGGGAUAACCAUUGGAAACGAUGGCUAAUACCGCAUGAUGCCUACGGGCCAAAGAGGGGGACCUUCGGGCCUCUCGCGUCAGGAUAUGCCUAGGUGGGAUUAGCUAGUUGGUGAGGUAAGGGCUCACCAAGGCGACGAUCCCUAGCUGGUCUGAGAGGAUGAUCAGCCACACUGGAACUGAGACACGGUCCAGACUCCUACGGGAGGCAGCAGUGGGGAAUAUUGCACAAUGGGCGCAAGCCUGAUGCAGCCAUGCCGCGUGUAUGAAGAAGGCCUUCGGGUUGUAAAGUACUUUCAGUCGUGAGGAAGGCGGCGUCGUUAAUAGCGGCGUUGUUUGACGUUAGCGACAGAAGAAGCACCGGCUAACUCCGUGCCAGCACCGGCGGGUAAUAA
rnacentral:rRNA from 1 species